rnacentral:rRNA from 1 species
CUACGGGUGGCUCCAGUGAGGAAUAUUGCACAAUGGGGGAAACCCUGAUGCAGCAACGCCGCGUGGAGGAUGACGCAUUUCGGUGUGUAAACUCCUUUUAUAUGUCAAGAAAAUGACGGUAGCAUAUGAAUAAGCACCGGCUAACUCCGUGCCAGCAGCCGCGGUAAUACGGAGGGUGCAAGCGUUACUCGGAGUCACUGGGCGUAAAGGACGCGUAGGCGGGUUGGAAAGUCAGGUGUGAAAUCCUACAGCUUAACUGUAGAACUGCACUUGAAACUUCUAAUCUAGAGUAUGGGAGGGGGAGAUGGAAUUAGUGGUGUAGGGGUAAAAUCCGUAGAUAUCACUAGGAAUACCUAAAGCGAAGGCGAUCUCCUGGAACAUUACUGACGCUAAGGCGUGAAAGCGGGGGGAGCAAACAGGAUUAGAUACCCGAGUAGUC